rnacentral:lncRNA from 1 species
ACUACGCUACCCAGCAUCCUCGGCGCGGCCCGGAGGCUAUGCGACCCUGCGCGUCGCAUCCCCUCGGUGGACUACACUCCCCAGAGUCCUCGGGAGUCGUCCAGGUACACGCCCCAGAAUAUUGGUCAUAGCGGUCCACCCGGGACUGCGCGACCCGGAAUCCUUGGAAGGACUUCUCGGAAGGACUCCUCUCUGACAGGUGGGGCGAGCCUAUGGUCGUUUGGACGUGGAGGGAUCCUUUCAGAACCGGCGAUUUCUUUUAUUUAGUAGUGACAUAAUAUUCUUCACUGUGGCUUCUUCCAUUGUGACCCAGACCAAUCUACUUAAGGUCCGCAAAUACUGCUCACGUUCUCCCAUGAAGUCCAUCAUGUGGGGAGUGUUUUCCUUGUAGGAUUACGCUGCUCUCAAGUGCAUACAUGAUGAUCUUUUUGUCCAAGCAUCAGAGGUGAUCCCAGCAUCUUCACAGUACCAGCCUUUCCCCAAGAUCCUCGCCAGAGAAAAGGGUUACCCAGAUCAUCCUGCCACUGGUGAGUUGCUUUGUUGUCAUGUACUGGGUGGACCUUAUCAUCUCAUCCUCUUCAUCCCUGUUAUGGACGUAUAACCCAGUCAUCCUGAGCAUCUAGAACCUUGUAGCCUGUGUCUAUGCCACUCUCGUUCCAUUGGUACAAAUCCGCUCUGAUAAAAGAAUAGUUAAUAUUCUCCAAAAAAUGGAAUUAAAGUGCUAUAAUUUUUUAAUGUGUUGGUGAUGAAAAAUAUUUCUAAAAAUUAGUCUCAUUCUAUAGUUAAAUUGUUCAAGUAGCCCCAGAUUUAGCUUACUGAGUUUAAAUAAAAUGCGUGGAAUUACACUUUUAUUAUAUUUUUAUGCUUCUGAAACUGAGGCAUCUAAGGACUAUGUAGUUUCUUCAGUUCAAUGUUCACCAUAGAUUGACAUUUCAGAUAUCAAGUCUUUUGCACUUUUAUUUUUAUGUUAACUUUGUACAAGAAAAUGUUUCUCUCUUUUUGAAGUACAUUCUUAAAAAAUUUGUUUUGGUAAUCAAAUCUCUCAAUGUUUUUACUUUUGAAAAUAUUUACUUACUCUGUUUAUGAAUGAUACUUUAGCUAAAUAUUCAAUUCUAGCUUUUAAGCCAUGCUUGCUCAUUGUAACCUCCCUGACUAAAAAAAAUUAUGUCAAUUUGGAUUUUAAAUUUAAUCUAGAAUUCAUUUUAAAGGGUUUUAAAUGAAAUUUAUAUGUGGCUAGAUACUGUUUUGGUAAUACUCGAUAGUUUCCCGCCUCUAUUGGGAUAUUAUUGACAAAAAUUUUGUAUAUUUAUGGUGCACAAUAUGAUGUUUUGAGGUAUAGACACGUGCACGCAGACACAUAAACACACACACACACACACAUUGUAAAAUUACCAAAAUCAAGCUUAAUAACAUGUCAAUUACUUCUCAUACAAGGGUAUUUUUGGUGUAUGGUGAGAACAUUUGAGAUCUACUUCAUUAAUAUAAUUUACUUAUACAAUACAUAUUAUUAAUAUAGUCUCUAUGCUGUAUACAUAUAUUUAUAUUAACUUCUCUUUUGUUAUUGUUGGAGACAGUUGUCUGUCUUUGUUCCCCAGGCUGGAGUGCAGUGGCAUUAUCAUAGCUCACUGAAACGUCAAACUCCUGGGUUCAAAUCAUUCUCCCACCUCAGCCUCAAAAGUAGCUAGAACUACAGGGGUGCACCACUAUGCCAAGCUAAUUUGUAGGAACAGAGUCUUGCUAUGUUACCCAGGCUGGUCUUGAACUCCUGGCCUCAAGCAAUCCUCCUGCCUUAGCCUCCCAAAAUACAGGGAUUAUAGGCAUGAGCCACAUGCCUAGCUUUAUAACAUUUUCUUUAUUCAUUUAUGUGUUGAUGGACAUUUACAUUGUUUUCAUAUCUUGUCUAUUGUGAAUAUUGCUUCAAGAAACAUAGGAGUGAAGAUAUCUCUUCAAUAUGUGAUUUUAUGUUCUUUGGAUAUUUAACCAUAGGUAGGAUUCCUGAAUCAUAUGAUAGUUUUAUUUUUAAUUUUUUGAUGAAUAAUCAUGCUGUUUUCCAUAAUGGCUUUACCAAUUUACAUUCCCAGUGACAGUGUACAAGGUUCCUUUUCUCUCCAUCAUUGAUAACAUUUGUUUUCUUUUGAAUUUUUAAUAAACAUUACCCUAACAUGUGCUUGAGGUGCUAUCUCAUUUUGGUUUUGAUUUGCAUUCUCCUGAUGAUUACUAAUGGCUUCUUUGAAAAAGGAUCCAUUUAGAUUAUUUGGCUACUUUUAAAAAGAAUGUGUUAUUUUUAUUGUUAUUUUUAUUCAGAGGGGGUUAUAUUUUAUGAAUUUCUUACAGAUUUUGAAUGCUAACCCUUUAUCUGAUAUUUGGCUUACAAGUAUUUUUCUUCGGUUCUGUGGAUUGCCUUUUAAAUUGAUUGACUGUCUUUUGCUAUGCAGUAGAAACUUUUUAGUUUGAUGUCGUUUCAUUUUUUUUCUCCCUGGGCUUUUAGUGUCAAAUACAAAAAAUAAUUAUUGCCGCAAACAAUGCCAAAGAAUUUUCCCCAAUGUUGUUUUCUAAAAGUUUUAUGGUUUCAGGUCCAAUAUUGAAGUCUUUAAUCUCUUAAGUUAAUUUUUGUGUAUUCUGUAAAAGAUGGGUUAAAUUUUUUUUGCAUGUGUAUAUCCAGUUUUCCCAUCACCAUUUAUUGAACAGUGUAUUCUUUCUUCACUGUAUAUUUAUAUAUCUUUGUUGAAAAUUAGUUGACUGUGUUCAGAUGGAUAUUUCUGAGCUCUCUAUUCAGUUUCAUUGGUCUAUGUGUCUGUGUUAAUGCCAGCAUCAUGCUGUUUUGAUGACUGUAGCUUUGUUAUAUCAUUUGAAAUUAAGAAGUUUGAUGCCUUCAGCUUUGUUCUUGCUCAAAAUUCUUUGGUUAUUUUGGGUCUUUUCUAAUUCCUUACAAACUUUAGAAAUUUUUUAUUUUUCUGGAAAAUGAUAUUUUAAUUUUGAUGGAGAUUGCUUUAAAUUUUUUUUUUUUUUUUUUGAGAUGGAGUCUCACUGUGUCACCCAGGGCCCAGGCUGGAGUGCAGUGAGGUGAUCUCAGCUCACUGCAACCUCCACCUUCCUGGUUCAAACAAUUCCCCUGACUCAGCCUCCUGAGUAGCUGGGAUUACAGGUGCACGCCACCAUGCCUGGCUAAUUUUUUUGUGUGUUUUUAGUAGAGAUGGGGUUUCACCAUGUUGGCCAGACUGGUCACGAACUCCUGACCUCAAGCAAUCCACCCACCUCGGCCUCCCAAAGUGCUAGGAUUACAGGUGUGAGCCACUGCACCCGGUGAGAUUGCUUUAAAUCUUUAUAUCACUUUUAGUAGUAUGAAUGUUUUAAUAUUAAUUUAUCCAAUCCAUGAACACUAAGUUUUUUUUGUCUCUUCUAUAAUUGCCUUUGCCACUAUUUUAGAGUUUUUAUUGUACAAAUCUUUUACCGUCUUAGUUAUAAGUAUUAUUUUUUAUGUUAUGGCAUAUGGAAUUUUCUUAAUUUUUCCCAUAUAUUUUGUUGUAAGUGUAUAGAAAUGCAAUUUAUUGUUUUGUACAUUGAUAUAGUAUCCUGCAACAUUGCUGAAUUAGUUUAUUAGUUUUAAAAGUUUUUUUCCUGUAAUGAUGAGCACACGGGACUGUGUUUACACACUCAUUAAUAUUCUGUUAACAUAUCACAGUGCCUAAAAAUGUGCUCUGUUGUAUUUCUGCGGUGACCAAUUUAAUGGCAUCUUUUAGUCCUAAUUUUUUUUUCUUUUAAAAUACUUUUGUCUGGUAUUGUAUAAUGGUGUGUUACUUUUCAGUUGUGCUACACAUUUAUUUCCAGGCAGAGUUAGUCAAGCUUUCUAAUAAAGUUAUUUAAUACCUUUA